GGCUAUAGGAGGAGAUCAUUUUCAGAAAGCUCCUUCAUGUCUGCGAGCUCACAUCAAAGAGCUGCUGAAAGGCAUUCUGGGAGAGGGAGGCUCAUUAGAUCGGAUCGUGCAGCGUUCAGUCUGUCCGUCAGCAGACUGUGACAGGCGGAGUUGGCUGAUCCCAGGUCUGCCAGCGAUGCAGCUCCACCUCUGGGCCAAAGCAACAGUUAUCCUGCAGCUCCGGGUGCAUAGAAAACAGCUAAUUGUAGAUGGAUAUCCCUGCUGCACCUGAUCACCGCAGAAACCAUCACAGAGGAGGAAGCAGCUUUUUUU